rnacentral:rRNA from 1 species
GUGCCACCGCCGCGGUAAUACGGGGGGUGCGAGCGUUGUUCGGAAUUAUUGGGCGUAAAGAGCGUGUAGGCGGCUGAAUAAGUCAGAUGUGAAAUCCCUGGGCUUAACCCAGGACGUGCAUUUGAAACUAUUCGGCUAGAGUAGGGGAGAGGAAAGUGGAAUUCCUGGUGUAGAGGUGAAAUCCGUAGAUAUCGGGAGGAACACCAGUGGCGAAGGCGGCCACCUGGACUGUAACUGACGCUGAGAUGCGAAAGUGCGGGUAGCAAACAGG